AAACCACCCAUAAAGCAAGGCAUUAUCAACGGGCUGUGAGUGUGGCCAGCAUUGACUUUGGCAGUAGAGGUCUGGAUUUGCUAAGCCUCACGGGUUACCAGGUGCAAACCCCAGAGCUGGAAGCACAAUUUGAGAAUGCAGCCAGCACAGUGCUCACCUCACAAUGGAUUCUUAGUAAAGAUUUAGAGACUGCUGAAUGAAUAUCCUGUGAUCCCUUACCUUACAAGCCAAGAGACACAAUACCCAGGCACACAAGACUCCUAAUGAACAUGGAAAGAGAACACACAGGUAAGUGUGCAAUGUGGUUCAGUAAGUGUUCAAAGACAAGAAAUAAAUAAGAGUUCAUAGAGUUUUAGAAGGCUUCG
rnacentral:lncRNA from 1 species